rnacentral:ncRNA from 1 species
UAAGGAUAGCGCCCGAUCUGUUAAAACCGAUGACGAGGAUAGAGUUUAUCGAAAAUUCGGCGGAUGGCUCUAGGGACUGCACUCUACAGAAACUGAUAAAAAGAAACUGCGAAGUUUUAACAG